AGUAUCGGGCACAGUGUCAUCGUCGCGUCGUAUUCGCGUCGAGAAUAAGUAUCUCGCGAAUGUGUGAUCGAUAUUUGAUCGAUGCGAGAAUCGCGGGUAGCGGAGGCUUCCUUCGGCGUCUCUGUUCGACGAACGUCGUAACCGUCGUUGAUGUUCGAAUUCCCUGCCUCCGUUAGUUUUCGAAUGGCGAUCGUCGCGUACGAUUACGCGAGUGUAAAUAUGACGAGGACGAACCACUAUCGCAGUUACGGGUCCGUCAGUCAUCGCGAAUGAUAAUCGUGUACCCGCGAGUCGGGAGUGCCGAGGAAAAGUAACGGGCGUGAAAAAGUACAUCGCGAUCGCAACGUACGUAUUCGAAUCUAAAGUGCCGCGAGUAAUGGUGAAUAAUGUGAUGCAACGGAUUUCGCCGCGUAUAAAUGUCGUCGGGAGUGUCGAGUAAUAAUAUCGGACGAUUAUUUCGGUUAUGCGAGCGCAAGGAUUGCGAACAGUAACGAUAAGCGAAUUGUCGCGAGAGGAAGUACAAUAUAAAUAUAUCGGGAGUGCCGAAAAAAAGUAUCGCGGGAUACUGGACCAAUAUCGCGACCGUGAAUAAUAAUUAAUAUCCAAUGAACUAAUUCAGUUAAAUAUACGAUGAAAUCGUCGGCCGUCGAUAAUCAGUUUUGGACAGAAAGGCCAAUGAAUCGGAUGACGAGAAGGAAACAACGGGACAUUGAUCGAUAUUUCUGGAAGGAAAGGGAAGGGAAUAAGAAGUCGUCGAUGUCACCCUAUGCGGGACUCUAUCAUUCUCGACAAGUUUUUAAUGGUGAAGCACUCUUCCGCGGAUAAAACUUGGCUAUCUCGUGUGCUGCGAAACCAAUUGACGAUGAGCACUCGACAGGAAUACGCUCCACCACCUCGUCCGCAAAUGCAGCUGCCUACUCAAACUGUCCUCUCGCGCGCACGUGCGCAACCGACUGCAUCCGUAAUGUGUACGUAAGUAUGUACGUGUAGUAUUUUCAGAGAGGCUUUUGGGUGUUUGGUGGAGAGAGUCUGGUCUGUGCGCGCUCGUUGAAAAUCAAUGUGGCCCGCGCGAAUGAACGCCGGCCUCGCACACGCGACAAAUCCGAAAUCCGAUUGUGUAUUUUUGAGAUUUCAACAAGGCCGUAUUAAAUGCGUGUUUGUUGCGUCCCGCAUUUUUAUAUUAAACAUUUUCCGUGAUCGCGCAACACGCGCCCCGCGCGGCGCUAUUAAAGAAACAUUUUUCCUCGCUCUUUUCUUCCGGCGUCCGUGAAAUUCUGAUCGAAAUUUCAUUCGAAUUUAUCGUCAGUCUCGGGCAAGAUUAAAUGUAGAUGAUGCGAUAUUAAAUUCGUCUCUGCGUGGGAUUUUAUCGUCCACGGCUCGAUAUAAUACGCCGCCGCUGAUUCCGCGUCGUUGCACAUUGAAGAUAACGAGAGCUGUGUCCGGGAUUGUCUUUGGCAAAAAUAAGAUCUGCGACUGAAGGAGUUUGUUUGAAUAUAUGAAUGUUUCAUACGCGUUCGCGUUCGAAUAUGUGAUUUUAUUGUAUAUAUAGCUUACUCCGGGGAGAUAUCGAUAAACACUUGUAGAUACAAUGUGUAGUCGCUUACUAGAUCCUUUCGUACAUACGUACGUACUUCAUUCUUUGUAGUGCCUUAUGCUUUAUACAUUCGCAAAAGAAAAAAGCUCGGAAAAAGCCGCGGCUUUCUGUCCUUCUUGUAUCCGAUGCAAUCUGCCAUGACCUAAGAUGCGAAAUAUUUUUCCAACAUCUCAUACCUUAUUUACGCUUUAAAAAUAUUCUCAAAAACUCUAACGAAUAAAUUUAUGCUUUCUUCGCGUAAUCGGAAAAAUUUAUUCUGUAUAUUUAUUAUUUAUUAUUCACGUGAAAAAAAUAUCUAAUAUAUAAAAGAAAACGCGAUUGUGUCGAGAAAAUUGUGGGGUAAAAAAAUCGUAGAUGGUCCAUUUACCAUUAAAUCGCUCAGUGGAAAGCUUUCAACGCGGGAAACAGAUUUUUGUGACCGUGCGAAAAAAAAAAGAAAAAAAAAUACGCCGGGUUAUCGUCCGACUGCGAAAUCCAGGAAAAGGACCGAA